UAUACAACUCCGGUUCCCUUACGAUCACCAAAGUUAAGCAACAUUGAGCCUGGUCAAUACCUAGAUGGGUGACUGCUUGGGACUACCAGAUGCUGUAAG